GAGUUUGAUCCUGGCUCAGAACGAACGCUGGCGGCGUGCCUUACACAUGCAAGUCGAACGUGAUCCAGAGCUUGCUCUGGUGAAAGUGGCGCACGGGUGAGUAACGCGUGGAUAACCUACCCUGGUAUCCGGGAUAACAUUCCGAAAGGGGUGCUAAUACCGGAUAAGCCCACGGGCUCUUUGGAGCUUGCGGGAAAAGGUGGCCUCUAUUUAUAAGCUAUUGUAUCAGGAUGGGUCCGCGUACCAUUAGCUAGUUGGCGGUGUAACGGACCACCAAGGCGACGAUGGUUAGCUGGUCUGAGAGGAUGAUCAGCCACACUGGAACUGAGACACGGUCCAGACUCCUACGGGAGACAGCAGUGGGGAAUUUUGCGCAAUGGGGGAAACCCUGACGCAGCAACGCCGCGUGAGUGAUGAAGGCCUUUGGGUCGUAAAGCUCUGUCAGAGGGGAAGAAGUGAUAUAGUGCUAAUACCACUUUAUCUUGACGGUACCCUCAAAGGAAGCACCGGCUAACUCCGUGCCAGCAGCCGCGGUAAUAC
rnacentral:rRNA from 1 species